GACGAACGCUGGCGGCGUGCCUAAUACAUGCCAGUAGAACGCUGAAGAGAGGAGCUUGCUCUUCUUGGAUGAGUUGCGAACGGGUGAGUAACGCGUAGGUAACCUGCCUUGUAGCGGGGGAUAACUAUUGGAAACGAUAGCUAAUACCGCAUAACAAUGGAUGACACAUGUCAUUUAUUUGAAAGGGGCAAUUGCUCCACUACAAGAUGGACCUGCGUUGUAUUAGCUAGUAGGUGAGGUAAUGGCUCACCUAGGCGACGAUACAUAGCCGACCUGAGAGGGUGAUCGGCCACACUGGGACUGAGACACGGCCCAGACUCCUACGGGAGGCAGCAGUAGGGAAUCUUCGGCAAUGGGGGCAACCCUGACCGAGCAACGCCGCGUGAGUGAAGAAGGGUUUCGGAUCGUAAAGCUCUGUUGUAAGUCAAGAACGGGUGUGAGAGUGGAAAGUUCACACUGUGACGGUAGCUUACGAGAAAGGGACGGCUAACUACGUG
rnacentral:rRNA from 1 species